GCGAAAACCAAAAUGUUUUUGUUCGUUUAUAUAUUAGCAUAUAUUGUUUUGUUGCGUAUUAUAUAUAGCAAGAAAAAUAUUCAUAAACACAUCUAGGAUAGAUAUAUAAUUUCAAAUCUUUCUGUAAAUCCUGUGUACUGUAAUGAGCUUUGCGUCACGGUUGAGAAGAGGGAUUCGGAUAGGCGGCGGUCGAAGCAAGGAGCGGCGCUGAUUUUGAACUUUGGAGAAGGCUUGGUUUUGACUCUGAUUUGCGGAUUGGAUUACGGAUUUUGGCGGUUGGCAUAAACUGGCGUGUGACUGGACUGGAAUGGCAACUCAGGUAGAUGACGAUGAUGACAUGGAUUUAGGAGAUCGGACACCGGUUAGUGGGAAAGGGGCGAGGAGAGGGAGAAGAGGUAGGGAGGAUGAAAGUGUCAUAGGAACUCAGGGCAGCAAACGAAGUUUGGAGGGGAAUAGUUCGGAUGAUGGGAGUGUUAUCUGGAAAAGGAUUGUCAGAGAAGAGUUUAAAAUAAUAUUGAAAUUUAGGCAGGAGGAUGAAGGGGUGCAACUUAGCCCGAUAGUUUUGUCAAGAGAGCUGAGAAAGACGUUUGGAGAGGUAACGUUAGCCAACGUACGUAGAGAUGGGAAUUUGUUGAUAAUCGUUAAGAUGGAAGAACAGAAAAAUAAAGCGUUACAUACUGAGAGCAUCUGCAGAAAGACAGUGAGAGAGAGGAAGGUGUUGGGGGAGUCUAAAGUGGUGCGAAGGGUAAUCACGGGCAUUCCAAUAGAGGAAGAUUUAGAAAAAAUUAGACGUAGUACUUCUGGCAGUGAGGUCAGCGGGAUCAAAAGACUGAUGAGAACGGUUGAUGGGGAAAGAGUUGACAGUGUGACUGUAAUGCUGGAGUUCCAAGAACCGGUACUUCCUGGAAGAGUUAAAAUAGGGUGCAUGAGUUUUCCUGUACGGCCGUACGUUCCCCCUCCCCUCAGGUGUUACAAAUGCCAGAGGUAUGGACACGUCGCAGAGGUGUGCAAGGGGAAACAGAGGUGCCCAAAGUGUGGGGGUGAACACAGGUAUGAUGAAUGUGACAGUGUACAGGAUAAAUGUUGUAACUGUGAUGGGCAACACAGGGUGACAUACGGGGGAUGUGCAGUUAGGAGGGCAGCUGUGGAAAUAGAGCAAGUUAAAGCAGUACAAAACAUAAGUUAUGCAGAAGUGGUCAAGAAAGUGAAAAAGGCAACAGAUGGGAAAGGACCGGUUCAACAACUUUCAAAGGCUGACCGACAACAGAUUGAUGAAACCCCUCCAGCAAUCACAGUGGAGAGGAUGAUUUUGUUCAUUGCAUAUGCAAUAAAUUGUACAGACCAAGUUAAACACAAAACAGAGAAGAUUAAAAUAAUUGUUAGAGGGGCUGAGAAAUUUUUUGGUGUAAAAGCUAUUUCCUGGGAGCAAGGCAGAAAGGCAGAAACAGGAAGAUUGUACCCUGGUGGACAAAGGAAUGUGAUGAAGCAAUUAGGUGCAGGAAUAAAGCUUUUAGGGUGUUAAAAAGGAAUCACAAUUAUCAGAAUUUCGUUGAAUAUAAAAAAUCACAAGCUAUUGUAAGAAGAACCAUUAAAGCUGCAAAGAGGGACAGUUGGAGGAGCUUUUGUAGUUCUGUGGGGAGAGAGACAGAUAUUGGUAAGGUGUGGUCAAUGAUCAGAAGGAUGAAUGGCAUUACAAGGAAAUGUGGGUAUCCAGUAUUGAGUGAAGGGGAGUCACAGCGGUGAAAGAAGAAGACAAGGCAGAUAUGAUGGCAAAAACUUUUGUUAAAAUCCAUAGCUCAAGUAAUAUUAGUGAAGAAGGUCAAAGGGGAAGAGAAAUGACACUAGCAGAGAACAGGGAGAUACUGCAGCAAGUUGACGACACAGAUGUUUCAUUGAAUAUGCCGUUUACAAAGACUGAAUUGAACCGGGCACUUAGGAAAUUUAACUUUGAUGGGUAUAAAUGGUCGAAUGUUCAGAUGGGUUAAGGAUUUUUUGGAAGGCCGACGAAUAAUAGUAAGGAUUGGGAGGAGUUAUUCGGAGAGUUUGCCAAUAGAAAAUGGAACGCCACAAGGAAGCAUAGUUAGCCCAUUAUUGUUUUCACUGCUGAUUAAUGAUGUGUUUAGGAACAUAGAGGGUGGGAUGGGGCUUUCACUUUUUGCAGACGAUGGGGCAAUGUGGGCAAGAGGACGACGGUUAGACUUUUUGGUGAAGAAAGUACAGGGGGCAAUUGCAGAAAUAGAACAGUGGUCGUAUAAAUGGGGGUUUAAAUUCUCAGUUGAUAAGACUAAGUUGACGGUUUUUACAAGAAAGAGAGGUGGGGUUGACGUCGGGGUCAGAUUAUAUGGACGGGAAUUGGAAAGGGUAAAACAAUUUAAAUAUUUGGGGUUGUGGUUUGAUGAAAGGGUGACAUGGACUAUACAUAUUCAGAAAAUAAUAGACAGGUGCAAGAAAGUGUUGAAUGUAAUGAGGUGCUUAGUGGGAAUUGACUGGGGGGCUGAUAGGAAAUCUUUAAAAGCUAUAUAUACUGGGUUGAUUAGGUCAGUAUUGGAUUAUGGGUGUAUAGUAUAUAAUUCUGCUGCCAGAACAAGUCUUCGUAAGUUGGAUAGUAUCCAAUAUCAAGCGUUAAGACUUUGCUCAGGUGCAUUCAAAACAACAUCUGCAGCAGCACUACAGGUUGAAAUGGGGGAAAUGCCAUUACAAAUAAGAAGAGAGCAACUGACAUUGAAUUACUGGGCAAGUUUACAAGGACAUGGUCACGAUCAUCCAACGAAAACUGUUUUCCAACCAUGCUGGGAAAAAGAGAAAAUGCAAUUGAAGAGCUUUGGGUGGACAUUGGGACAGAAAGCAGCUGAACUUGAUCUGGACAAGAUAAACUUGGUGGCGGUAAUGCACCAUUUUGCUGUUUGCCAACCGCCAAUAAACCCUAUACAGAAGAAGAAGAAGAGCUUUGCGUCACGGGUCAACAGCCAAUCGCUACGUAGAGCGCCAAGUUUCUUCUACAGCGUAAAAACAACAUGGCGGAAAAGGACGUAGAAAUUUCCUUUAAAAAGGAUACAGUAAGCCAACUUUUGUCUAAUUUCUUCAAAGAAGACAAAACAAAACGUGAGUGGGAUAACUAUGCUGCUAUCAGUGACUUCUUGUUCUCUUUGUGACCAUGCUGAUGAAAUGCCACUGUAUUGCAGUAAGCGGAGAUGCCACACGGCUCAUGGUAGAGAUGCUUAAAGUGUUUGUGCAAGAGGCUGCUGUGAGAUCACAGAAACAAGCCGAAUCUGAGGACUGUGACCAAGUAGACAUUGAACAUUUUGAAAAGAUCCUGCCUCAGCUGCUUCUGGACUUCUAGCACAGUGAUACCACAAGAUGGAGCCAGAGUGCUGCUGAGAUGUCUCUCGAUCAACAGAUCCCUUCCACAGUUCCACCAGCUAAAAGUUCUUUUUUCAGUAUUAUUGCAGUUUCAUAAAUCCCCAAAUCUGAGAUAACAUUGAGAUUAUGUUUUUAUUAGAGCUGCAUGAUUUUAGCAGGAAGCACCAUUGCAAUCCGCACGCUACCACGCCACCACCAAUAAGGGCCACCUGUGCUCCUGUGUGCAACAACAGGUGCUUCCAGCAUGCUCCAUGGCGCCCUUCAUCAAAGCCUCCGGGAGCAGUUGGAAGCAAUUAGAGUAAUAAGGGGAGCAGCCAGUCCCUUAGAUGAUGACAAGUGCCAGGAAAAAAGGAGUACCCCUCCGGCCACUUUGAAGUUCCCUUUUGCUGUCCUGCGAUGUUUAGUUAGAGGAGGGGGGGAGGGCAAAGGGGACCUCUGGCACAGGGGGAAAGUUGAAUGGGAGUGUGUGUGCACGUACGUGUGCGUGUGUUAGCCAAACACGGCCAGAGACCACACGCGUAGAUGUUCUAUUUGAAGGGAAACAUAACAAAACACAUUGGAACAUGGUCCAAGAAGAGCAGGGUGUAAUUCUGAAGGUAAAUAAACAAAAGAGGCGAGUAGUGGAGGUGCUCUCUCUACUUUCAUCACAGCACAGGGAGGGGGUGGGUGGGGGGUGAAGCUCGGCCUACAAGGAAGAGGGUAAUGUGGGGUUUUCUAACCUGAGCGGCUCUGAUGGUUUUCCACCAGCAGUGUGUUUGACCAACGUGUCCUUGCUGUGAGUCAGCAUAGCUGUGCAACACCUCACAGUAUUUAUUUGUGGGGCUCUUGGGUGACUUACGAAUGCUACUCACUUUUACAGCUGGAACCAACUUAGGCUAAAACCAAGAAUCCAGCCCUGAAUAGGUGUUCAAGGACACGACACCUGGAAUUUGACCCAGCAUCAUUUUAGUAAGGCUCACGCUGGAUUUGUGUUUCCCAGGGGUAACUUCCAGACCACACUUUCUUGUAAAAAAAAGAAAAGAAAAAAACUUGAGCACAGCUUAAGUCGUCACCAGAGAAGAAAAAAAUUUGUAAAGGGUUUCUUUUUGUGCGUAGCCUUUGUGGAGAUUUACUCAAAUUGAAAUGGAUCUUUCCCAACAGUUGAUUCUUGCGCACGAAAUAAAAAAGAUUACUAUCUUG